AUACGUAGGGUGCAAGCGUUAAUCGGAAUUACUGGGCGUAAAGCGUGCGCAGGCGGUUUUGUAAGACAGAGGUGAAAUCCCCGGGGUCAAACUGGGAACUGCCUUUGUGACUGCAAGGCUAGAGUACGGCGGAGGGGGAUGGAAUUCCGCGUGUAGCCGUGAAAUGCGUAGAUAUGCGGAGGAAAACCGAUGGAGAAGGCAAUCCCCUGGGCCUGUACUGACGCUCAUGCACGAAAGCGUGGGGAGCAAACAGGAUUAGAUACCCUGGUAGUCCACGCCCUAAACGAUGUCAACUGGUUGUUGGGUCUUCAUUGACUCAGUAACGAAGCUAACGCGUGAAGUUGACCGCCUGGGGAGUACGGCCGCAAGGUUGAAACUCAAAUGAAUUGACGUGG
rnacentral:rRNA from 1 species